UACGAAGGGGGCUAGCGUUGCUCGGAAUCACUGGGCGUAAAGCGCACGUAGGCGGCUUACUAAGUCAGGGGUGAAAUCCUGGAGCUCAACUCCCAGAACUGCCUUUGAUACUGGUGAGCUUGAGUCCGGAAGAGGUGAGUGGAAACUGCGAGUGUAGAGGGUGAAAAUUCGUAGAUAUUCGCAAGAACACCAGUGGCGAAGGCGGCUCACUGGCCGGUACUGACGCUGAGGUGCGAAAGCGUGGGAG
rnacentral:rRNA from 1 species